CUACGGGUCGCACCAGUGAGGAAUUUUGCGCAAUGGGGGCAACCCUGACGCAGCAACGCCGCGUGAGUGAAGAAGGCCUUUGGGUCGUAAAGCUCUGUCAACAGGGAAGAAGUUACUUCAUAUUAAUAGUAUGUAGUAUUGACGGUACCUGUGGAGGAAGCAUCGGCUAACUCCGUGCCAGCAGCCGCGGUAAUACGGGGGAUGCAAGCGUUAUUCGGAAUCAUUGGGCGUAAAGGGCACGCAGGCGGCUCUGUCAGUCAGAUGUGAAAGCCCGGGGCUCAACCCCGGACGUGCAUUUGAAACAGCAGAGCUUGAGUACGGUAGAGGAAAGCGGAAUUCCUGGUGUAGAGGUGAAAUUCGUAGAUAUCAGGAGGAACACCGGUGGCGAAGGCGGCUUUCUGGACCGAAACUGACGCUGAGGUGCGAAGGCGUGGGUAGCGAACAGGAUUAGAUACCCGCGUAGUC
rnacentral:rRNA from 1 species